rnacentral:rRNA from 1 species
UACAGGAGCCCAAGCGUUGUUCGGAUUCACUGGGCGUAAAGGGUGCGUAGGUGGCUUGGAAAGUUUGAUGUGAAAGCUCAGGCUUAACCCUGAAAUGGCAUUGAAUACUAUCGAGCUGGAGGUUUGGAGGGGGACUGGAAUUCUCGGUGUAAGCAGUGAAAUGCGUAGAUAUCGAGAGGAACACCAGUGGCGAAGGCGAGUCCCUGGACAACACCUGACACUGAGGCACGAAAGCCGGGGAGGCAAACAG